CAGAGGAUGGGGCUGCGGCCGAUCAGGCCGUUGGCGAGGUAACGGCUCACCAGACCUUUGACCGGUACGGGCCAUGAGAGUGGUAGCCCGGAGAUGGACACUGAGAUAGGGGUCCAGGCCCUACGGGGCGCAGCAGGCGCGAAAACUCCACACUGUACGUAAGUACGAUGGGGUUACCUCGAGUGUAGUCUGUAAAAGAUUGCUUUUCCAUAGAGUAAUAUCCUGUGGGAAUAAGAGGGGGGCAAGACUGGUGUCAGCCGCCGCGGUAACACCAGCCCCUCGAGUGGUAGGGACUUUUAUUUGGCCUAAAGCGUUCGUAGCCGUCUGUAACCGUUGCCCGUUAAAUCCAGCGUCUCAAGCGUUGGACUGCGGGCGAUACCUUACAGAUUGAGGGUGGGAUAGGUAAGCGGUAUUUCUGGGGUAGGGGCGAAAUCCUUUGAUCCCAGGAGGACCACCAGUGGCGAAGGCUGCUUACUAGAACACGCCUGACGGUCAGGAACGAAAGCUGGGGUAGCGAACCGGAUUAGAUACCCGGGUAGUCCCAGCUGUAAACGAUGCGCGCUAGGUGUUGGGUCGGCCAUGCGCCGCCCCAGUGCCGCAGGGAAGCCGUUAAGCGCGCCGCCUGGGGAGUACGGCCGCAAGGCUGAAACUUAAAGGAAUUGGCGGGGGAGCAC
rnacentral:rRNA from 1 species